rnacentral:rRNA from 1 species
AGGAUUCCCCUAGUAACGGCGAGUGAAGCGGGAAGAGCUCAAAUUUGAAAUCUGGUGGCCUCAGGUCAUCCGAGUUGUAAUCUAUAGAAGUGUUUUCCGUGCUGGCUCAUGUACAAGUCCCUUGGAACAGGGCGUCAUAGAGGGUGAGAAUCCCGUCCUUGACAUGAACUACCAGUGCUCUGUGAUACAUUUUCAACGAGUCGAGUUGUUUGGGAAUGCAGCUCAAAAUGGGUGGUAAAUUCCAUCUAAAGCUAAAUAUUGGCGAGAGACCGAUAGCGAACAAGUACCGUGAGGGAAAGAUGAAAAGCACUUUGGAAAGAGAGUUAAACAGUAUGUGAAAUUGUUGAAAGGGAAACGAUUGAAGUCAGUCGUGCUCUUUGGAUUCAGCCGGUUCUGCCGGUGUACUUCCUUUGAGUGGGGUCAACAUCAGUUUUGAUCGCUGGAUAAAGGCUGGAGGAACGUAGUACCCUCGGGUAAACUUAUAGCCUCCUGUCACAUACAGUGGUUGGGACUGAGGAACGCAGCACGCCUUUAUGGCCGGGAUUCGUCCACGUACGUGCUUAGGAUGUUGAC